rnacentral:lncRNA from 1 species
UCACAUUAUGAGUUUAAAUGCCCUCCACAACUUAUAUUACUGUCUUUACACCCUCAACAGGUUCCCCACUUUGUUUGUGAGUUCCUGGUCUCACCUUUUCACUAAUCAUGCAGUACAACUGCUAGCCAUUUUAAACAAGGGCAACUCUUGCCUCACCAAACUAUGCUAGAUCAAGCCAUUCAACCAUACUGUCCAUUAUUUUCGGUCUCUACCACUGCCAUCGCCAGUUUGCCACCCCUAAAGUACAGCUCCUACACCGCCAUUUAUUCUCUGGCAUGCUUCAGGUAUCCUUGACUCCUGAAAUUCACAUUUCGGACUUGCGCAUCAGAAAGAUUCACAUGAUCUAAACCUCUGAAACCCUGCUUCCACAAUAAGACAAUUCACCACAUAC